CCAAUAGCGUAUAUUAGUGUUGUUGCGGUUAAAAAGCUCGUAGUUGAAUUUCGGGAUUGGGAUAUAUCGGUCGUGCCUUUAGGGGCAUGAAACGGUGUGUAGCCAAUUUCUCACCUUCUGGUGAGUCGGGAUGCUCUUGGGUGUUUCGAUGAAUCAGGACCUUUACUUUGAAAAAAUUAGAGUGUUUAAAGCGGGCAUUUUUGCUUGAAUACAUUAGCAUGGAAUAAUAAAAUAGGACGAUGGUUCUAUUUUGUUGGUUUUAGGACCACGUAAUGAUUAAUAGGGAUAGUUGGGGGCAUUAGUAUUCAAUUGUCAGAGGUGAAAUUCUUGGAUUUAUUGAGGACUAACUACUGCGAAAGCAUUUGCCAAGGAUGUUUUCAUUAAUCAAGAACGAAAGUUAGGGGAUCAAAGACGAUUUAUGUACGUCGUAGUCUUAACCAUAAACUAUGCCGACUAGGAAUCAGACAAAGUUCAUUUUUUAACGACUUGUUUGGUACCUUACG
rnacentral:ncRNA from 2 species